CUCACACCAGUGGAGUCCCAUACUCUGAGAGAAUUUAUGACAGAAGGGCACAGUAUGACCCACCGAGGACAUGGAACCAAAAUUUAAAAGUGUGGCAUUCUCAUUAGGAUGGACUCAUGGUUCACCCAUCUUCUUUUGUCAGGCAAUCACCUGCACUAGUUGAGCUGAUAGGUAAUAGAGGUACAGGUGACGCAGACUAAGACUAACUUUGGAGUUUUCCAAAGGAGUCAAGGAGCUACUCUAGGCACGGCAAGGGGGAGACCAGGUAGGCCUGCAUAAGUAAUACAAGGAGGUGAAGGAUGAGAACAGGGCUUCAACAUACUGUUCUUUACUAUGAGUAUGAUGGGGAGAAGGCUGAGUAAAAUUUGAUAAAUACUGCAUUGACAUCCCC